rnacentral:RNase_P_RNA from 1 species
GGAGUCGGCCGGAUGACCGCCGGCCCCCUUUGGGGGCGAGAGGAAAGUCCGGGCACCGCAGGGCAGGGUGCUGGCUAACGGCCAGGGGGGGCGACCCCACGGAAAGUGCCACAGAAAACAAACCGCCCGCGCUUGUUGAGCGUGGGUAAGGGUGAAACGGCGAGGUAAGAGCUCACCGCUGGGGCGGCGACGUCCCAGGCAGGGCAAACCCCACCCGGUGCAAGACCAAAUAGGGAAGCGUUACGAGGGCGGCCCGCCCCAGCUUCCGGGUAGGUUGCUGGAGGCGUCGGGCAACCGGCGUCCUAGAUGAAUGGUCAUCGCCCGGCCGCAAGGCCGGGAACAGAACCCGGCUUACAGGCCGGCUCCGCCC